AGCGAAUGCUUUGGGGUGGGGUGACUGCGUACCUUUUGUAUAAUGGGUCAGCGACUUAUAUUCUGUAGCAAGGUUAACCGAAUAGGGGAGCCGGAGGGAAACCGAGUCUUAACCGGGCGUUAAGUUGCAGGGUAUAGACCCGAAACCCGGUGAUCUAGCCAUGGGCAGGUUGAAGGUUGGGUAACACUAACUGGAGGACCGAACCGACUAAUGUUGAAAAAUUAGCGGAUGACCUGUGGCUGGGGGUGAAAGGCCAAUCAAACCGGGAGAUAGCUGGUUCUCCCCGAAAGCUAUUUAGGUAGCGCCUCGUGAAUUCAUCUCCGGGGGUAGAGCACUGUUUCGGCUAGGGGGCCAUCCCGGCUUACCAACCCGAUGCAAACUGCGAAUACCGGAGAAUGUUAUCACGGGAGACACACGGCGGGUGCUAACGUCCGUCGUGAAGAGGGAAACAACCCAGACCGCCAGCUAAGGUCCCAAAGUCAUGGUUAAGUGGGAAACGAUGUGGGAAGGCCCAGACAGCCAGGAUGUUGGCUUAGAAGCAGCCAUCAUUUAAAGAAAGCGUAAUAGCUCACUGGUCGAGUCGGCCUGCGCGGAAGAUGUAACGGGGCUAAACCAU
rnacentral:rRNA from 1 species